rnacentral:rRNA from 1 species
UACAGAGGUCUCGAGCGUUGUUCGGAUUCAUUGGGCGUAAAGGGUGCGUAGGUGGCUUGGUAAGUCGGAUCGUGAAAUCCCGGGGCUCAACCCCGGAACUGCAUUCGAUACUGCUUUAGCUUGAGUCCUGGAGAGGAGAUCGGAAUUUACGGUGUAGCAGUGAAAUGCGUAGAUAUCGUAAGGAAGACCGGUGGCGAAGGCGGAUCUCUGGACAGGAACUGACACUGAGGCACGA